ACAGCUGAUGAUGCCCAUUCUGAGUAUUUCACUUUUUGGAUAACUCCAAUUUUUUCUAGUCUCUGUGUUUUAUGGAGACAUUUGGAACCUAUCCCUGGAGCGUCAGAUACUGUUAAAAAGUUGAAGAAACUGGGAAAGAAUGUGUUCUUUGUAACCAAUAAUAGUUCCAAAUCUAGAAAAGAUUAUUGUAUUAAAUUCUCACAGUUAGGUUUUGAAGUGAAAGAGAGUGAAAUCAUCAGUACAGCUUACAUUGCAGCAUUGUACCUUCAUGAACGCAACUUCAGAGGCAAAGUUUAUCUUGUUGGCUCUAAAGGUAUAGCUGACGAACUUGAUAAUUUUGGCAUUCAGCAUACAGAAGUUGGGGUGAGUAUCUUGCAGUGAGAUAGUGAUGAUAAUAGUGGCUGGUAGGAAGAUUUUAUGCUACAUCACCAACUGUUCACUGAUAAGUGUUAUUCUUAUUGAUGGUGAUUCUGUUGUUUUCAUUUAGCCCAGAAAUAACAUUUUUCAGUAGAUCUAUAAUCAAAAGUGUUCCAGCUGUGGCUACCUUUUAUUCAGAC
rnacentral:lncRNA from 1 species